AUUGAACGCUGGCGGCAUGCCUUACACAUGCAAGUCGAACGGCAGCGGACCUUCGGGUGCCGGCGAGUGGCGAACGGGUGAGUAAUAUAUCGGAACGUACCUUUCAGUGGGGGAUAACGUAGCGAAAGUUACGCUAAUACCGCAUAUUCUGUGAGCAGGAAAGCAGGGGAUCGCAAGACCUUGCGCUGAUUGAGCGGCCGAUAUCAGAUUAGCUAGUUGGUGAGGUAAAGGCUCACCAAGGCGACGAUCUGUAGCGGGUCUGAGAGGAUGAUCCGCCACACUGGAACUGAGACACGGUCCAGACUCCUACGGAGGCAGCAGUGGGAAUUUGGACAAUGGGCGCAAGCUGAUCCAGCCAUGCGCGUGAGUGAAGAAGG
rnacentral:rRNA from 1 species